GGCCCUGAGUCAGGCCCUACCCAGAGCGGUACUGGAAGCGCUGCGCGGCCGCCGGAUUUCGCCGGAACCCCGGCAAUCCCUGAUUUCCCGGCCGGGGUGCGCCGUUAGGAUCCGUCCUAAGGCUGGUCCGGCCUCAGUGGGGUGAAUCUGCAGCCCGCAGGGACAGUCGCGCUCCCUCCGCCGCACCUUGUCCUCGCCCCGCGCCCGGCCGGAGGAGGAGCAACGAGCAACGCGAGUCCCGGGCCCGCAGUGGUCGGCGGAAGUCCAGGCGUUUCCGGACCCUGGAGACACAGGCCUAGAGCCUGAGAGCCCUGAGAGAGGUGGGCUGAUUCACCAAGGCACACUCAGUCUCUGCAGGUUCCCAGGCUCAGAUGCUGCACCCCAAGAUGCACUGCCCCAGGCUAGCCCUGGGCCUGGGAUUCUGCCUGCUGGUGGGCAUGGCCCUCUACUGUCUGUGGGUGUAUGUGGAGAGCUCACUGCCGGUCUCGUACGUCCCCUAUUAUCUCCCCUGCCCAUCGAUCUUCAACAUGAAGCUGCAGUACAAGGGUGAGGAGCCGUCCCAGCCCGUGGCACAGUCACAGUACCCUCAGCCCAAGCUGCUGGAGCAGAAGCACACCAGGCUACUGACACUCACACCCUGGUUGGCGCCCAUCGUCUCUGAGGGAACCUUCGACCCUGAGCUUCUGCAUCACAUCUACCAGCCGCUGAACCUGACCAUCGGGCUCACAGUGUUUGCCGUGGGGAAGUACACCCAAUUCGUCCAGCACUUCCUGGAGUCGGCCGAACGCUUCUUCAUGCAGGGUUACCGAGUGCGCUACUAUGUCUUCACCGAUGACCCCAUGGCCCUUCCUCGGGUCCCGCUGGGCCCUGGCCGCCUCCUCAGCAUCGUCCCCAUCAAGAGGCACUCCCACUGGGAGGAGAUCUCCACACGCCGGAUGGAGACCAUCAGCCAGCACAUUGCAGAGAGUGCGCACCGGGAGGUGGACUACCUGUUCUGCGUCGAUGUGGACAUGGUAUUCCGGAACCCAUGGGGCCCGGAGACCUUAGGGGACCUGGUGGCUGCCAUUCACCCAGGCUACUUCACUGUACCCCGCCAGCAGUUCCCCUACGAGCGCAGGCAUGUUUCCACUGCCUUUGUGGCUGAUGGCGAAGGGGACUUCUAUUAUGGUGGGGCGGUCUUUGGGGGGCGGGUGGCCAGGGUGUACGAGUUUACCAGGGGCUGCCACAUGGGCAUCCUGGCGGACAAGGCCAAUGGCAUCAUGGCAGUCUGGCAGGAGGAGAGCCACCUGAACCGCCGCUUCAUCUCACACAAGCCCUCCAAAGUGCUGUCCCCCGAGUACCUCUGGGAUGACAGGAAGCCCCAGCCUCCCAGCCUGAAGCUGAUCCGCUUUUCUACACUGGACAAGGACACCAACUGGCUAAGAAGCUGACGGCAGAGUCCAGGCUGCUGUGGAUGGGGGGACCCCAAGCCCUGCACCCAGUUUGCCCCACCCCUAGGGAUUCAGUCAGCCAGAGUGGCCGAUACAGUCAGCUGGUGGAGGGGUACAGUCUUCCAGGAAACCUGGGCUGAAGCUGGCCCCUGCGACAGACAGAAUUUCACCCCGAGUCUCCUGGAAGACGGGUGAAGUGGAACCGUGCCACCAGACAAGCCGCAUUGGUUUGGCCAGCGAACAAGGACAGGCUACAGGUGUGUGGGCAGACUGACCAGUGUGAGGAGACAGCGCGGACUGGACAAGACGCAUCGGGGAGGUUAGGCAGUUAGGCCUGGGUGGACCACGGCCCAUGUGUUACCAGUGGGGAGCACCUUCCUAGGAUGUCUGUCCACACCCUGGGGAGGGAGGGGUUGUGAAGCCGGUUAGGUUGAAGGAACAGGCCCUGCCUUCGAGGAGUUUCCAUGUUGGAGCAGGGAGAGGGCCUGUGAUGUGGAGAAGGAGGUGGCCCUGAGACCUGGGCAGCAUCAGCCUUGCAGGAAGGGGUCCCUUCUUGCUCCCAGGCCACUCUGGGCCAUUCUCAGCCUUGGCCCGAGCCCUCAGGUACUAUGGCUACCCUGGUCCCCAUCCCAGGGCAUGGCCCUCAAACACAAGUUGAGUGAGUGACAGUGCCCAACUCCUGGAACCAAACUGGGGUACAGUCUACUUUCCAAAAAGAUGCUAAGGGCUUGGGGGCUGGAGCUCCUCCAUGGUUGGGAGGAAGUAAGGUGGGAUGGGUGGUGGGGGACAGGCCUGGCCCGGCAGAAGGAGGUGAGAAUGCCUGGAAAUAGAAAUAGACAAAAUUACAAUUACAGAAUGUCUGCAGUGGCCCCUGAAACGUAAGCCGCCUCUCCUUUCAUGGCCGGCUACCUCUUCUCCAUGCCCGACAACCCAACAUCAUUACCCUGUCGCAGGGCCUGGCCCAGCACACCUCUGCUCACACUGCCUACCAGUCAGGCCUCCCGGUCCAAUCACGUGGCCAGUUCCUGGAUACUUACUCCUGACUUCACCUCCUCCAGGAAGCCUACCUUGAUUUGUGUCCCCCUCCAGAGUGGGUACUUUUCAGUGUUCCCAUAAAUCCUCAUUCCUGUGUCAUCAUUUACAAUGUUCUAGUCAUCUCCACCCCUUCCCCCGGCUGGUAAACCCCAAGAGGGCACAGAUGGUGGCCUGCCAGGUUUAGCCCAGUCCCUGAAACCCCAGAGGGAUUCCAUGAGUGUUUGUUGAACGACUGUGUGAAUGUGAGGCAGCUGAGAACACAGGUUUGAGCAUGUCCUAGCACCUGUGGGAUGUUAGGCAGGUCACCUCCCUGAGGCCCUGGGGUGAGGAUGAAAUGGGAUUAUGGUGGGGACACCUGUGGGCACUGACUUCCAGGCAGGUACUUGGAGAAAUAGCUAGGUCUGGGCCUGCCAGGCAACAUGCCCAACCCUGGGAGGGGGAGGUGACCACCAGAGCCCACACUGUACACAGGAGGAAACAGGCAGACUGCAUCGCUGGCUGCAUCUCAGGGAUGCACGCUUGAAUGGCGUGAAUAAUGCACGCACUAAGCUCCUUCCAACUGAGAUGCUGUGGCUCUGAUUAAACCACCUGGAUCAUGUCCUCUGCUGCCCCCAACCUGCGGUGACCCCGUACUCCUUGCCCAACAUUCAGCGUCCUGUGUGGUCUGGAUGUCCUCCCAGUGUGCACCCCUCACCCCGACUCCACCUCCCCACAGCCUUCCUCCCUGCACUGACCCUUCCAAGCCCUUGCCCUGCUCAGGGCCCCCUGCCUGCAGUGCCCCUCCCCACAGCGCCCCAUCCAUGAUGAACUCACCUC